AGAGUUUGAUCCUGGCUCAGGACGAACGCUGGCGGCGUGCCUAAUACAUGCAAGUCGAACGGUCUUUUCUAUGGAAGCUUGCUUCCACUGAGAAGAUAGUGGCGAACGGGUGAGUAACACGUGGGUAACCUGCCCAUAAGAGGGGGAUAACAUCCGGAAACGGGUGCUAAUACCGCAUAGUUUUCUUGAUCGCAUGAUCGNGAAAGGAAAGACGGCCUUUGUGCUGUCGCUUAUGGAUGGACCCGCGGCGUAUUAGUUAGUUGGUGAGGUAACGGCUCACCAAGACGAUGAUACGUAGCCGACCUGAGAGGGUGAUCGNCCACAUUGGGACUGAGACACGGCCCAAACUCCUACGGGAGGCAGCAGUAGGGAAUCUUCCGCANUGGACGAAAGUCUGACGGAGCAACGCCGCGUGAGUGAAGAAGGUUUUCGGAUCGUAAAAC
rnacentral:rRNA from 1 species